AUUGAACGCUGGCGGCAUGCUUUACACAUGCAAGUCGAACGGCAGCGCGGGCUUCGGCCCGGCGGCGAGUGGCGAACGGGUGAGUAAUACAUCGGAACGUGCCCAGUAGUGGGGGAUAGCUCGGCGAAAGCCGGAUUAAUACCGCAUACGACCUGAGGGUGAAAGCGGGGGAUCCUCGGACCUCGCGCUAUUGGAGCGGCCGAUGGCAGAUUAGCUAGUUGGUGGGGUAAAGGCCUACCAAGGCGACGAUCUGUAGCUGGUCUGAGAGGACGACCAGCCACACUGGGACUGAGACACGGCCCAGACUCCUACGGGAGGCAGCAGUGGGGAAUUUUGGACAAUGGGCGAAAGCCUGAUCCAGCAAUGCCGCGUGUGUGAUGAAGGCCUUCGGGUUGUAAAGCACUUUUGGCGGGAACGAAAAGGACUGUGCCAAUACCACGGUUCGAUGACGGUACCCGCAGAAUAAGCACCGGCUAACUACGUG
rnacentral:rRNA from 1 species